ACGGGGUGCAGCAGGCGAGAAAACUUUGCAAUGUGCGAAAGCACGACAAGGUUAAUCCGAGUGGUUUCUGCUAAAGGAACCUUUUGUCGGUCCUAGAAACACCGAUGAAUAAGGGGUGGGCAAGUUCUGGUGUCAGCCGCCGCGGUAAAACCAGCACCUCAAGUGGUCAGGAUGAUUAUUGGGCCUAAAGCAUCCGUAGCCGGCUCUGUAAGUUUUCGGUUAAAUCUGUACGCUUAACGUACAGGCUGCCGGGAAUACUGCAGAGCUAGGUAGUGGGAGAGGUAGACGGUACUCGGUAGGAAGGGGUUAAAAUCCUUUGAUCUAUUGAUGACCACCUGUGGCGAAAGGCGGUCUACCAGAACACGUACGACGGUGAGGGAUGAAAGCUGGGGGAGCAAACCGGAUUAGAUACCCGGGUAGUCCCAGCUGUAAACUAUGCAAACUCAGUGAUGCAUUGGCUUGUGGCCAAUGCAGUGCUGCAGGGAAGCCGUUAAGUUUGCCGCCUGGGAAGUACGUACGCAAGUAUGAAACUUAA
rnacentral:rRNA from 1 species